CCUACGGGUGGCAGCAGUGGGGAAUAUUGCACAAUGGGGGAAACCCUGAUGCAGCGACGCCGCGUGAGUGAAGAAGGACUUCGUUAUGUAAAGCCCUGUCAGCAGGGAAGAAAAUGACGGUACCUGGGUAAGAAGCCCCGGCUAACUACGUGCCAGCAGCCGCGGUAAUACGUAGGGGGCAAGCGUUAUCCGGAUUUACUGGGUGUAAAGGGAGCGUAGACGGCGGUGCAAGUCUGGUGUGAAAAGCUGGGGCCCAACCCCGGGAUUGCCCUGGAAACUGUAGUGCUGGAGUGCAGGAGAGGUAAGUGGAAUUCCUAGUGUAGCGGUGAAAUGCGUAGAUAUUAGGAGGAACACCAGUGGCGAAGGCGGCUUACUGGACUGUAACUGACGCUGAGGCUCGAAAGCGUGGGGAGCAAACAGGAUUAGAUACCCUAGUAGUC
rnacentral:rRNA from 1 species